GCCAUUCUAGUAAUUUAGGGUACGUUCAGACUUAGCGUCUUUUUCUGACAAAAGAAGUUAUGCAGACCGUUUUUUCAGUUUGAAAAAAAAAUCUGUUCCAAAAAGCAGCCGGAAGCUGGGUUUUUUUUUUUGCGAUAGGCAAAGUAACUAACGUUACGUGUGGAUACAAAAUAUCGCAGAAGAAAAAAUUGGGGUUGGCUAUUGCUUUUGGUAUGUUGUGGUAAAGUUGUGAAGUCAUGUCAAACAAUUCCCUAUACUC